rnacentral:tRNA from 2 species
GCCCGGCUAGCUCAGUCAGUAGAUCAUGAGACUCUUAAUCUCAGGGUCGUGGGUUCACACCCCACAUUGGGCG